rnacentral:rRNA from 1 species
AACGAGGUAUAGCAAUAUCCGAGUGGCGAAUGGGUGAGUAACACGUGAGUAACCUGCCUCAUACAACGGGAUACCUACAGGAAACUGUAGUUAAUACGGUAUAAGACCACAGAAACACAUGUUUCAGUGGUAAAAGAUUUUAUCGGUAUGAGAUGGACUCGCGGCGCAUUAGCUAGUUGGUGAGGUAACGGCUCUACCAAGGCGACGAUGCGUAGCCGACCUGAGAGGGUGAUCGGCCACAUUGGGACUGAGAUACGGCCCAGACUCCUACGGGAGGCAGCAGUGGGGAAUAUUGGGCAAUGGAGGAAACUCUUACCCAGCAAUGCCGCGUGAAUGAAGAAGGUCGUAAGAUUGUAAAGUUCUUUAGUCAGGGACGAAAAAAAUGACGGUACCUGAAGAAUAAGCUCCGGCUAACUACGUGCCAGCAGCCGCGGUAAUACGUAGGGAGCGAGCGUUGUCCGGAAUGACUGGGCGUAAAGGGUGUGUAGGUGGUUUGGCAAGUUAGAAGUGUAAUACCUGAGCUUAACUUGGGUGCUGCUUUUAAAACUGUUAGACUUGAGUGCAGUAGAGGUUGAUGGAAUUCCUAGUGUAGCGGUGGAAUGCGUAGAUAUUAGGAGGAACACCAG